UGUGUCCGAAGCUGGAAGCUGCCCCAGCCAAACACUGGAAACACCCAGCUCUCCACCAAGAUAACCCACGUGAGCCACAGCUUGCAGGCAAUAUCCCAUCUCCAUCCUCACCACUGCUCAGCCCAGACCUCCCUCAUCUUCCUGGCCUGCAGACCUUAGCAGUGGCUGUUUCCACCCCUGGAACACCCUUCCCACCUGGUGCCUGCAGGGCCCAUGCACGGCAUAUUCACUGCUGUAUCCCCAGAGCCUAGCACAGUGCCUGGUGCAGAGAUGAUUUUCAGCAAAGAGCCACUGAAGGGAAGAUACCUACGUGACUGUGAGGAGACACAGGCUGGACGAUGAAUGUGAUGGCUGGAACUCAAGCAGCCACAGUGGAUCAUAAGGGACGGUGUCUUGCUAUGUUGUCCAAGCUGACCUCAAACUGGCCUGAAGCAAUGCUUCCACCUCAGCUGCCAGAGGAAUCAGGAUUACAGGCCUGAGCCACUGCAGCCAGCCAGUUUGUUAUUUUAAUGUAAAUUCUUAGUAAACAACUCUCUUGUCCUUUUAAAAUCCAAUUCAACUGCUGCUAAUCGGAGUGUAUAUUCAGGGCAACUUGAAUCUGUGCUCCUGGGAUGCAGUCCUCAAGCUUGGCCCAAAUAAAGUCUCUGCUGAUAUUAA
rnacentral:antisense_RNA from 1 species